GUGACCUGCGGAAGGUCAUUAAUGAUUGCGAAUCGUUGUCUUCAGUGCUGGCCAGCUCUGGCAAGUGCACGUUGGCAGCUUUUCAUCCAAUACCCCUGUGAACCUUUGGCCUCUUGCUGGCUUUGGCUGGCAGAGGAUUUUUUACACCCACUCGAAUGUAAUGAAAUUAUUGUCGUGCGCAAGCACUAAUGUACAACUUUCAACAACGGAUCUCUUGGCUCUCGCAUCGAUGAAGAACGCAGCGAAAUGCGAUAAGUAAUGUGAAUUGCAGAAUUCAGUGAAUCAUCGAAUCUUUGAACGCACCUUGCACCCUUUGGUAUUCCGAAGGGUAUGCUCGUUUGAGUGUCAUUGUACUCUCACACUUCUGAUCCUUUGGAUUGGGAGCGGUGGACUUGGGUGCUGCUGCUUUACUGUGGCUCACCUCAAAUGCAUUAGUGCAACUCUUGGUUGGACAUAGUACGGCGUGAUAAGUGUCUUCGCCGGCACCUCGCAAGAGGGUGGCUGAUCGGGAGCUCUGUGCUUCUAACUGUCUUCAGACAACAACUGACAACUUGACCUCAAAUCGAGUAGGACCACCCGCUGAACUUAA
rnacentral:rRNA from 1 species